UUUUUUUUUGUUGGACACAGAUGACCAAUUAUCGUUUGCAUUAUGUUGUCCAGCUUCUCUUGAGUGUUGACUAGCAUCAGUAUGCUGUAAAUCAAAACCACCUUGACUUAGGCAGCAUUAGAGACAUCUGCAGCAGCUGUACCUAUAAAAGUGGUCCCAGUGCCUUUUUGUUGAACAAUAUGAUGGUGAUUAGAGGUAUCUUAUCGAACUGACUUCAGCGCAACAUCAUCAUCCGUAUGAGUUGCUGUUAUUUGAAUAAGUUCACUCACAUCAUCAUUGUUAUCUAUCCCAGAAGCAUGUCGAUCAACAUGACAUUGCAAAGCAAGUGUAGAAUCCUGCUUCAAAUGUACUGUCCAGUUGGUAAUAUUGUUACCAUUUGUACCAGAUGCCGCAAACUCCAAUUCCAUAACAUCACACUGAUCAUCUACUGUGUAGAAUCCCGCUUCGAAUGUACUGUCAAGUUGGUAAUAUUUUUAUCAUUUGUACAAGAUGCCGCAAUCUCCAAUUCCAUAACAUCACACUGAUCCUCCACCUUUUCAUUUUGCCUAGUCCAUUUAAUGACAUCCAAUGCUAUAUUUGCUUUUAAAAUUGAAUCUACACUAGCUGGUACAUUUAGCUGCCCUGGAACUAGUUGGUGCACAUUGUAGAUAUGGUGCUGUCCUUUGCAUAUUUCAGUUGAAUUGGUAGUCUGAGAAGUAACCAGAGCUGAUGCUUUAUUCAAGUCAUUACAUCCUUGUUGUCCAGGAUUUUUUAAAGCAUUAGACUUCUCCCCUGUUUGGACUAAUAAAACAGUAGGAUCUCUAGUAGCUUUGAAAGAAUAGAAGCUUCCAAAUUUGUACCAUAUCCCUGACCAAAUAAUGUAGUCUGCAUCAACUGCUGCUGCUCGACGAUAAUCUGUUUAGUCCUUUUUGCAUUUUUGUGCUGCGUCAGCAAUUGCAGCAGUAGGUUCUAAAUUUGGCGCGCCCAUAGCUGAACCAUCAUUUGGAACAGUAACUGCUGAUUUGGCCUUGAAAGAUCUGCUGCAGCUGGAACAUUUGAAGCAGUAACAAUUUGUUGUCCUGCUUCAUCAAUCACAUUAGGUUGAACCCCUUCAAUUCGUCGUCCUUCAAGAGUAGCAUUCAAGUACUCCCUAGCAUCACUUCCUAAUUUAGGCAAACUGCCCCUUAAUUCAGAUUCGUCAACAUGAACUGCUUCUUCAUUCAAAACCUCUGAAGUCCAACGACACGAUUUUACAUCGUGACCUUGAUGAUUACAAUACGUGCAGUAUUUAGGUAAACUAUUAAACACGAUCUGCUGGUCAUAUUCAACUAUUUUUUCAGAUUUCAUAUCUACUAUCUUGAUCUUGAUUUUCUUUGGGUGUUUGUCCAGUAAAUUAAUCAAGACUUUAACUCGUGUCAUACUAGGUAGCGUCCGAUACUUUAGUAGCCUUAUCUACUGCUAGAGGCUUUCCCACGGCAGAUGCGAUGGAUAUUAAGAAUUUUUUUGCGAAUAAAUUUUCUGGCAGUUCAGGAAUUGAAAUCCAAGCGACAGCUUUUGACGUUUCUUCACAAGGGUUAAAUCCCAUUGUCCAUGGGAAUGUCCUAAUGAAGAACUCGUCUCCUUUUGCCUUAACAUAACUAGUUGUUCUUGAUAACACAUUAGCAAAAUCUUCAAAUAGAUCGCAUCUUACCAGAAUAUGCCGAUAUUCUAACUAUCCAAUGUUGCAAUACCUUUGACGUCGACUUGUUUCGGCAAAAUUUGUCUCAGCUCCUGAAGCUCAAGCUUUCCAUAUGAAAAUUUAAUUACAACUGCUUGUUGAAGACCUUCCUCCCUAGUGAAUGCACUCACUUCAUCUACUGUGAAUUCAACUGUAGGUAUUCCGUAGUCAAACGUAACAGGACAGAGUUCCAACUUUGAGUUUUUUGCGGAAGAUUGUUUCUCAGCAAGUUGCGAAGCAUAUGUUUGUUUGGUAUCGAUAGUUGUUGGAUUUUCAGGAUUGAUUUGAAUAGCCUCUCCCACAGCAAAAGGGUGGGGAGAGGGCGUAGCAUCCAUGGUUGCUUUAUCCUUCAAACACAGUCCAUCACAUCCACGCUAUCAAAAGGAAUAACGCUGGAAAUUUGAAGAAAUUCUGGUUGCUACAGUAAAUCGUGAAUAUAAUAUUUAACAUGUAGGAAAAUUGGUUAUAGAUUUGAGGUAAAAAUCAAUUGGGGAUUGUUCGCAAAGAGAAGGGGAUCGUGUGACACUAAUUUUGUUACAAUCCACCGCCAAAAUCCGGAGGUAUGCCCGAUGAAUAGUGACGGAAACACUAUUCACCCUUCUUCAUAGAGAGAAUAUGUGACCACUAGCCCCUAGGAACCUUAUGCCUUCCACCUAAGAAGUAUUGGGGAGAGGUAAUUAGGGAGGCAUGUUAUUUCUUCUAUCACGACCCAAACCGAUGGGCCAUGACGGGUGCCCGGUACCUUACUCAACCGAGUACCGACAUAACAUAGAGACUCAAAGGCUACCAUAAGAUAACUAGAAUAAAACAUGUAAUACCAACUUAUAUAUAACAAAUAUGGGCCUAUAAGACCAAAAUGACCACUCGUAUACUAAACAUUGGCAACCAAGGCCAUACAAACUCUCACGUACAUGAUAUCGUUCUACAAGCCUUUAAGAAUACAUAAUAUCAUAAAGGUCAGGAUAGGGUCCCAUCAUUCCAAUCAUUACAGGUACUAAUCGUACCGACCCAAGCAACAACUCUAGAGUAAAUGGAGCGCACCAACAUCUUCCUCUGAUUUGAUAGCCUACUUGCAGGAUUCUUGACCUGUCAAUCAGAGAUUGCGGGCAUGAAACAUAGAGUCCCUAUGAAAAGUGAUGUUAGUACAAAUUAUGUACCGAGUAUGUAAGAAACGUAAAUAGGUACAUAACAGACAUGGAAGAAAAAUAGAGUAAAUGACUUAACUUGUAAAUCUGGAUAACUCUGUAAAUCAUGAAACAAUUAUAGUGUCAUGCAUAUGCCUAUGAAUGUCAUGUCGUGCAUAGGUACAUGCUUCACAACAUCAUCAGGCCUCUGAGGGCAUCCCAUCAUAUCAUCUCUGCCACCAUGGGUAAAAUCAUCAACGUAUACUAGCUGAUUAGGUGGUGGUGCGUGUAUAUAUAUAUAUAUAUAUAUAUAUAUAUAUAUGUGUGUGUGUGUGUGUGUGUGUGUGUGUGUGUGUCCUGCAAAUAAAGCAAAAACGGCUCCCAUAGAAAGUACAUAAUGGAAAUGUGCAACCACAUAAUAAGUAUCAUGUAGAGCAAUGUCUAGCCCAGAAUUAGCCAGAGUUAUUCCAGUGAGUCCUCCUAUGGUAAACAAAAAGAUGAACCCUACAGCAAAUAACAUGGGUGUUUUGUAGUGUAUCAAACCCCCUCACAUGUUAGCGAUCCAACUAAAGAUUUUGAUUCCAGCGGGGAAAGAUAUGAUCAUGGUAGUUGCGGUAAAGUAGGCACGGGUAUCAACGUCUAAGCCCACAGUAAACAUAUGAUGAGCCCAAACAAGAAAUCCAAGAACACCUAUACUAAUCAUGGCAUAAACCAUGCCUAGAUACCGAAAACCGGUUUUCCCGAAAAGUAGAAACGAUAUGACUUAUGAUACCGGAUCCAGGCAGAAUGGGAAUAUACACCUCUGGAUGAACGAAGAGCCACAAGAGAUGCUUGUAUAAUAUAGGGUCUCCCCCUCCAGCGGGAUCAGAAAAGGUUGUAUUAAAGUUUCGAUCGGUUAGUAACAUGGUAAUUGCCCCUGCCAGUCACUAGAACGGACCACAAAAAUAGAGGUGAUCUAUGCAUAGUCAUUCCGGGUCCACGCAUGUUGAAGAUAGUUGUUAUAAAAUUAAUAGAACCUAAAAUGGAUGAAACACCAGAUAGAUGAAGUCUAGAAAUUGCUAAAUCAACUGCUCCUCCAGAAUGGUUGGUAAUACCACUUAAGGGCGGAUAGACCGGCCACCCAGUGCCGCUACCCACUUCUACUAAGGCUGAUCUUAAUAUGAGCAAGAGACUUGGAGGCAACAACCAGAAUGAAAUAUUAUUUAAUCGUGGAAAUGCCAUGUCAGGCGCAGCUAUCAGAAUCGGAACACACCAAUUACCAAAUCCACCUAUCAUCGCCGGCAUAACUAUAAAAAAUAUCAUUAAAAAGCGUGAUCCGUUAUUAAAACAUUAUAAAGUUGAUUAUUCCCAGUUUCCCACCAAGAAUUUGAUCGUCGGGUCGUGCUAAUUCCAUACGAAUCAGUACUGAGAAGCAUGUGCCCAUCACUCCAGCAAUGGCACCGAAGAUGAAAUAAAGAGUCCCUAUAUCCUUGUGGUUAGUGGAGAACAGCCAUCGGACCGGAUUUGUCGUAAAAUUGAGAUUAUUUCGUUUCCUUCCUUAUCAGAGAGGGGCCCGCGGGGCUUAUUUAUUGAAAAAGGGGGAGUGAGGGGGGGGGAAGGAAGAAUGGAAAGCCCUCACUUUAUUGAUGGGACAUUUUGAUCCCCUUUUCCUCUCAUCCUCCCCUACGCAAGGGUCUUAUUUAGAAGCAAUCUAUGGAGUUUUCCCUUAUCCGAACGGGUUUUGCAAGAAAAUAGGAUUUCAUAUUGAGCUCCAAAUAUACGCUAUUGGGAUGGGAUGGCUCCUACUAGCUCUCCCCCCCUAAGAACCGCACGUGCGAGUUCCCCCGCAUACGGCUCAAGUGGCGAAGGCCCUUUCCUUCGCGCUUGGUAAGCGCUUCGCUGUAGCCAAGCUUACUGCUAGCCUAUCGGCUAGAGCCAAGCUUCGACCGCGACUGCUCGUCGCUUCUGGCCGCCUUAUUCCGUCACCCGAGAUCCAAGUCAGCACCGGCAAAGAUCCAGAGCCAAGCUUCGACCGCGACUACUCGUCACUUCUGGCCGCCUUAUUCCAUCACCUGAGAUCCAAGUCAGCACCGGCAAAGAUCUCUUGAUUCCUCGUGGUCGGGCCAGCUUGGAAGCAAGCUACCUCUUGCCUAUCUCACCUCCUUUAUUUAGCUGGGUGAGCCUUCGCUUUUUGGAUCGUCUUCUGCCCAAUGCGGUACUACCUAUUGGGUUUACCUAGUUCACAGGUCGACCCCAUGGCAGCAAGAAAAGGCGAUCUUGUGCUAUACUCUGGUGAUCUCUUUCCUACCGAGACACGCAAACUCCCAUCGUGUCUCAGAUCAUAUUCCGUGAAUCGAAAGGGGAAGCCUAAUCAUCUAUCAGCUCCUUUCGUAGAUCGGUGCGGUUUUACGAAGCGUCUAAGCACAGUUCACUCCCGUUGAUCAAUCAAGAGGGUUACCGCCACUCCUUAAUAAGGUUAUUUGUUGUAUCACUUCUUGCAUUCUGUCCCACGCUUCAUACCUCCUCUUUCUUCUUUAGGUAAGAUAAAGGGCCAUGCAUGGUGGGGUAGGAGCAUCCAGUCGCAAGCUUUUUGGCUUGACCAAGAAGUCUUAUGUCCUCCGAGUUGCACGACAUUUUAACCGAAAGAACUUGCGCAAUUCAUGCCUUUCUGUUUUUAUGACCAGAAAUUCUUUCUUUAUUUUCAUAUAUUUUUCUCUGGACUUUUUAUCAAUAUGAGGUGAUUGUAACACAGUAUAUAAGACUCGUGAUUCAGGCAAUCCAAUCUUCCGUGUGUAAGGCGGAAGCCCCCAAAAAUGGUUUUCAAAAAAUGGGUGAUCAAAAGAUCGAAUUACUAUGCCUAUCAUGGUGGUCGUUACCUUUGGAGGUCUUUCUUUUUGGUCCUCUUCUUGAUGUUCUAUUGAUCAGAAGCAUCCAGCAGCACCACGCAGGUUUAGAAUUCGAUUCUGAGGGCUAAGGCCCCCCUUUUCUUUUCCUCCUUGCCGUGUUUUGGCCACAAUUCAGAAAGGCCAAAAAGAGGUCUCCUAUUUCUCGUCCCAUAGAUAAUCUCCGAAUUGCGGAUCGCCCGAACCAGCCUAAGAUAGGGCUGGCUCUGACGAGUGCCAUUUCUUUCGAUUUGGCUCAACUACCUAUUUAAGGUAUUUUCAGAAAGUGCAGCCUCCCUAGUAGGGUGAUUAAAGAGUAGGCCGCGGAUUUCUGACCUCCAAGCCAGAACUAUAUGGGGGGAAACCCAUCCCGCACUAAUGCAACUUCAUCUUUUUUUUCCAGCAGCAUUUGUUUCUCCAAAAUACCCAAAAAGGGUGGGAGGUGCCUGGCCUCGUUCCUACCAAUGAAAUAGAGCGACAAUCGCUGUUGAAGCUCUACCCUCCUUUGGAUAUCAGGAAGGAGAGGUUGCUCUAAUUCCGGAACGAGGACCUCGCGUGGAAUGGGCGCAACCUCGGGCUCGGGAAGGCGCGGUUCUGGUUCUCUCGGAGGAGAGAAAUCAAGAGCGCCAGACGAGGAACCCCUUCCCCCGUCGCACGCGGCUCCGAAGCAGUCAAGAUACUCACUUGGUGAAUAAAAACUUGUCAUAAUCAGAAGGAAGAGAGCGGCCCCCAACCCCAAAAGGUUCCUUUGGAAAAGCUCUUUCUCCCUCCUAAUUCUGGUAGUCGUGGUUGAUUCGAGGAUCUUACGCGGCGGAGCGAACUCUUCUAUCGUCUUGCAUUUUCUCUGGCGGACCCCCCCCCCGUCCAUCGUACUGGAGCGAUUCGAGAAGAACGAUACUUCAGAAAGGCCAAAAAGGGGGUCUCCUAUUUCUCGUCCCAUAGAGAAUCUCCGCAUUGCCGAUCGCCCGAACCAGCCUAAGAUAGGGCUGGCUCUGACGAGUGCCAUCUCUUUCGAUCUGGCUCAAAUACCUAUUUAAGGUAUUUUCAGAAAGCGCAGCCUCCCUAGUAGGGUGGUUAAAGACUAGGCCGCGGAUUUCUGACCUCCAAUCCAGAACGAUAUGGGGGGGAAACCCAUCCCGCACCAAUGCAGCUUCUAUCUUUUUUUCCAGGAGCAUUUGUUUCUCCAAAAUACCCAAAAAGGGCGGGAGGUGCCUGGCCUCGUUCCUACCAAUGAAAUAGAGCGACAAUCGCUGUUGAAGCUCUACCCUCCUUUGGAUAUCAGGAAGGAGAGGUUGCUCUAAUUCCGGAACGAGGACCUCGCGUGGAAUAGGCGCAACCUCGGGCUCGGGAAGGUGCGGUUCUACUUCUCUCGGAGGAGAGAAAUCAAGAGCGCUAGACGAGGAACCCCUUUCUCCCGUCGCACGCGGCUACGAAGCAGUCAAGAUACUCACUUGUUGAAUAAAAGCUUGUCAUAAUCAGAAGGAAGAGAGCAGCCCCCAACCCCAAAAGGUUCCUUUGGAAAAGCUCUUUCUCCCUCCUAAUUAUGGUAGUCGUGCUUUAUUCGAGGAUCUUACGCAGCAGAGCAAACUCUUCUAUCGUCUUGCAUUUUCUCUUGAGGAACCCUUUCCUUCACUUGUCAUAAUCAGAAGGAAGAGAGCGGCCCCCAACCCCAAAAGGUUCCUUUGGAAAAGCUCUUUCUCCCUCCUAAUUAUGGUAGUCGUGGUUGAUUCGAGGAUCUUACGCGGCGGAGCGAACUCUUCUAUCGUCUUGUAUUUUCUCUGGCGGACCCCCCCUGGUCCAUCGUACUAGAACGAUUUGAGAAGAACGACAAGGCUCAUAUUAUAUAUCCUUUCUACAAUGCCUAUAGACGAAGUGCUUCGUUUCAGAUCAAUUCUUCGCUGCAAUCGCUUCGAUCCACCCACUCGGUGAAAAGAAUUCCUACCAGCAGACUUCGCUGUACUCAAAGUGAAUUGUCUAAGUGCUCUCCUUUGUCUCAUUGUUUAUCUCGUAGUCAUUUGAUUCCGCUCCUAAAGCUAGCUCCUACUCCUCCUCCUCCUCCUUUAGGAUAGGAUCCUCAUUGGUCCUUUUUACAUAACAUUCUAGGUAGCCUCCGGUCCGGUAGGUCGGUGCCCUCUAGCCAGUGACUAGCCCAGCUAUGGAGCUAGGUCUAACCCGCCACGUCAAGACUCUCUUUCGAAAGUGAGAUACCGCCUUUCAUAAGAGGGAAUGAUCACUCCGUCAUGCAGCAGAGCAGUGUUCAUCUAACUAGAAAUUUCAUAAGAGAAGAAGAAUCGUAGCGUAGGGUCGACAUAAACAAUAGGUUAAAUAGUCUAAUGAGAAAGCAUAUGUUCACGUUCGUAGUUGCAAUAAGUUUUCUUUUUUUAAUCGAGAUUGGCUUGUUCUUCAGUCUACCCUAAUGAAACCUAAAAUCUCACUCCCUCGCUUUCACUCCUAAAUGCAGCCGUGAUCUUUCCCUGUAACUCGAGAAAGAAUAAGAGAGAUGGGAUCUCCUUUAGGGGUUAAUCUAUCCGAAUGUCCUAACUAGGAAAAAGAGGCUGUCUCAGAUCAUGGGGAGUCAUCCUCCGUCUAAGGAGAAGAGGCGCCGAGAGAUUCAAUGACCAAACGUCUUGUCA
rnacentral:lncRNA from 1 species